UUUCCGCGUAGGAGGAACUCGGGGGCAACGAUGCAAUUGGAAGGCACUGGAAGCCAGAACUGAAGCUUUGAUUGGACAAGAGGCUGAUUCAGUAACUUUCUCCUGAUAAGAGACCACUGACCAUGGCCUGGUUCCGCCCAUUUACAGAGGCUGUGCAAUGCCUUCAUGUCCCUGAUUCACCUUUUGACGUCUACAGCCUGAUUGUAAUACACUUAAAUGUGUAUUCUCCACUCCAAGGUGAACAUGGGAUGCAUGUAACAUGCAUGUUUGCUUAUCACAUAUGUGUAUGGCCUCCUUCCAUGAAUAUUCAUAGCUCUUCCUAUAUCCUGUUGAAUAUGUAUACCUGGCCAACCCAUUCAGCUUGAAUUCCUGUCUUAUCCCCUCCCACCCUUCCUCAAAGUGCCUGCCUAUUGGCUUCUACUGGAGACUACACUUCUUAGCCGGUCAGGGUGGCUGCCUUGCAGGUUGUAACUCUAUAUGAGAAAUAAAG
rnacentral:lncRNA from 1 species